rnacentral:tRNA from 1 species
AGCUCAGAUGGUAGAGAAUCUGCCUGCAAUGCAGGAGAUCCAGGUUUGACCCCUGG